GGGCCCGUAGCUCAGUGGAUUAGAGCAAGAAACUUCUAAUUUCUAGGCCGCCAGUUCGAACCUGGCCGGGCUCGCCA
rnacentral:tRNA from 1 species